rnacentral:rRNA from 1 species
UACAGAGGGUGCAAGCGUUAAUCGGAAUUACUGGGCGUAAGGGGCGCGUAGGCUGUGCUGUAAGUCAGGCGUGAAAUCCCCGGGCUCAACCUGGGAAUUGCGUUUGAUACUGCGGCGCUGGAAUGCAGGAGAGGAUGGCGGAAUUCCCAGUGUAGAGGUGAAAUUCGUAGAUAUUGGGAAGAACACCGGUGGCGAAGGCGGCCAUCUGGCCUGUAAUUGACGCUGAGGCGCGAAAGCGUGGGGAUCAAACAGG